rnacentral:rRNA from 1 species
GAUGAACGCUGGCGGCGUGCCUAAUACAUGCAAGUCGAGCGAACGGACGAGAAGCUUGCUUUUCUGAUGUUAGCGGCGGACGGGUGAGUAACACGUGGAUAACCUACCUAUAAGACUAGGAUAACUUCGGGAAACCGGAGCUAAUACCGGAUAAUAUUUUGAACCGCAUGGUUCAAAAGUGAAAGACGGUCUUGCUGUCACUUAUAGAUGGAUCCGCGCUGCAUUAGCUAGUUGGUAAGGUAACGGCUUACCAAGGCAACGAUGCAUAGCCGACCUGAGAGGGUGAUCGGCCACACUGGAACUGAGACACGGUCCAGACUCCUACGGGAGGCAGCAGUAGGGAAUCUUCCGCAAAGGGCGAAAGCCUGACGGAGCAACGCCGCGUGAGUGAUGAAGGUCUUCGGAUCGUAAAACUCUGUUAUUAGGGAAGAACAUAUGUGUAAGUAACUGUGCACAUCUUGACGGUACCUAAUCAGAAAGCCACGGCUAACUACGUG